CGGCAGCGAGGACUCCGAGAGCGUCGCCGUGGCCGUCCUGCCCGGCGUCGUUGACGACAACGGCGACAGCGCCGACAGCUUUGUAAGUUCGCGGCGACGCCCAGGAGACAUCCUCGAGGACGGCGACGAUGGAAUGCAUCGCCCGCCACCGAGUGUCCGCCGCCUUUUCUCAGCUUUUCUCCACCUCCUUGCACUGCUUUUGCCUGGUGCCCGGCCUCACUGUCAGGACGCGGUGAUGGUUGACUACCACACAAGCGCUGGAAAAAUAGAGAAUCAUGUGCUCUCGACGCUCCUAUUUUAGGGUAGCGCCGGCGGCGGAGGCGGAGCUUCAGCGGGCGCUAGCGUGUCCCUCGACGGCGGCGACCUCGGCGCGACGGCGGGCGCCUCGUUCGACGACGCCGGCAGCAGCGCCGGGGCCAGUGCUGGGGCCGGCCUGGGCGGCGGCGGCGCGGGCGGCAGCGACUCCGGCUCCAUCCUAGGACUGGUCACCCCACUCUUGGGCAGCAGCAGCCAGGGUUCCGCCGGGGACGGGUCGGGCGGCUCUGGAGGUGGAUCGAUCAAGUCGUUCAUCUUCAGGAAGAUUAUUCAGUUGCUUGGAUCAUCAUCAGGGCCUCAAGCUGGUUAAAACCUUAUUAACUACUAGUUUUUCAAAUAAAACAAAUCUUAAUUAAUUUUCUAUUUUACCUAUAAAUUGUAUGUGAUAUCAGUUGAAGAUUAAGUCAGCAGUGUUACAGUAGUUUCUCACUGAUUGGGGAGAAGUGAAAGUUAUGUAUAUUCUACCUUAUAUACGAUGGGAUCGCUUACUUAUCUAAACAUGGGGAAUCUCACAAACCAUGCAUGAAAACUAAAUAUUCAUAUGAAUGAGAGUAAAGUCUGUACAUGCUUUUUACUGAUUGUGAACAACUGUGAUAUUGCAUGCGAUCAAGUGCAGAUAGCAAUGGUAUGAACUGUCAUCUUUAUCUUACUUUUUAAGAAAACAUGUUGCUGGUGUAACCUUGGUGUAACUUCCACAUUGCUCAUAGUACUCAAUUGAAAUAAUAAUAAUAAUUUCAGAACGUUAUUGUAAAUGUAGUGUUCAUAUUUUGGAGCAAAUUGUGUAACAAUUCUGUUUUAAAAGUAAUAAUGAUCUCUGUAUGGCUGAAUAAGUUUCUGCAAUGCCCUCAUCAUCAUUUGCACAGAUCUAGGUAUGAAGCCAGCAUCACCACCCAUAGAAUCACCACGUAAAUACUUAAGAAUUUUGCUUUAUAAGAUAUAAUAUAAAAAAGAACAUUGUAUCAUUGUAGCAUAAUCAGCAGGUAGCAAAUUAAGGUAGUUGUUCUGACAAUUUUCUUUUGUAUACAUUAUUAUUUUGUAAAAUGUCAUGCUAAAAUAUACAAAGAGUUGAA